rnacentral:rRNA from 1 species
UACGGGGGGUGCGAGCGUUGUCCGGAAUCACUGGGCGUAAAGGGCGCGUAGGUGGUUUGAUACGGGUGUGGUGAAAGUCCGGGGCUCAACCCCGGAUCUGCCGUGCCGACUGUCAAACUCGAGGGCUGUAGAGGCAGACGGAAUUCCGGGUGUAGCGGUGGAAUGCGUAGAGAUCCGGAGGAAGACCGGUGGCGAAGGCGGUCUGCUGGGCAGUUUCUGACACUGAUGCGCGACAGCGUGGGGAGCAAACAGG